UCCCUGUUGUGCUCUAAUAACCACAUCAAGAGCAUGCCUACUUCUCUACCAGGAUCUCCUGAACCUUGGCAACAUAUUAUUGGAAGUGAGUCCAAAAAGACACACAGUGGCUACAAAAGAUGGAGGAGAGCACCUGGCUCCUCCAUGACCUGAAAAUGGGCGAAUAAAGUUGUAGGUGGAUAAAUGGUUAGAAAAUUUGAACUAGAGAUAAAAUAUGAUCCAAAUGGAAUUUCAGAGAAUGCAGCUUCACUUAUCCAAGCAGGUUAAAUGGCAGAGAUUUCUUCCAGAAUAAGUGGAAUGUGGCAUGUAUGGCCUGAGGUGAAACACUUCAUAUUGAAAGUUUCUUUAAGCAAUUCGGCUCCUUCUUUGGAUAUAAAUGCACACAUCCUGUCUCGGUUGUAGCAUGCCAAUGCAGAGCUCUGGUGAGGCCCUACCUCACCAGCAUCGGGGCACCGGCAGCAGGCUGACAACAGAGGUGGUGCAAAGGUAGACGAAAUUAUAGAUGUGAGAUAAAACAACAUUUAUAUUGGCUCAACCCUGCUAACUAGAGUAUAUAUGCAGCACCUUUAGUUCGGACGAAGCUUCGCGGAAGCCACCACUUUCCCGUUUGGGCAGCAACAGCUCGGGCACGGGGUCGUCCUCGCGCGUGCCCUAAAUAGUGCAGCGUCACUCUCAGGGCGUGGGUCAGGUCUGGCGGCGUCAGUCUCAGCGGACGAGCCAUCGCUGCUGCCUGCUGGUCAUCGCCAAAGCCGACCACGCGAGUACGCGACGCGGGCAGUGCGCACCCAGAGGGCUUCACAUCAAUUCUCAGCUAGCAGCUCGGCCAGUGUGCAUUAUUUGACGGAAUUGUGUUUAGCCUAAAAGUAAACCCAACAUCUCAGCAGUCAUCCAAAAAUAACUUCCAAUAAAAUGUUAUUAGGAUAUCCCAAUACCUCUUUAAUUUCAAGGAUUAUUGAGAGAGGUACAUUUGAAGUCUCCUAACAGCAUCUCAACUUCAUUUUCCAUUACCAAAACAUCUUUAUCUCUCCAUCUCCAAUAGUUACUUUUGCUUUUUUGACGAUCACCCUGCAGCAAACUACUAAAAUCUAAUCUCCAAUAUCUCUGUAACCAUAUGGAUCCCACAAGUCCGAGAUUUUACUCAUUUUUCUUUUUUCUCCUCCCCUCGUCUUAUCCUCUCCCUCCCGACUCCCUUCUCAUGCAUCACCUGCUGUCCUUCCUUCUCUCUUCCGCCGCUCCUCCUCCUGCCUCCUCUGGUGCCACGCCCGACUCCUAGCGCGGCAGCGACCGGCUCCUCCUCCUCCCUCCUCCUCCAGCGCUUGUUUGAUCAAUAGAAAAGAGCUGAAGAGCACUAAGCGUACUAGAACAUAAGGCACGCUUUGAGCGCCCUAUCAAUAUAUUUCUUUUAAUGUUUAUGUAAAGAGUAAAGUCCAUCAUCAUCGGUCCCUAGACUUGUACUGCUGCGUCACACCUGGUCCCUAAACUUGCAAAUCGACCAUUUAGGUCCUCAAACUUAUUCAUCUGGGUUAUCUCUGGUCCUCAAACUUGUUCAGCUGUGUCAUCUCGGUCCCCA